rnacentral:rRNA from 1 species
UGGGGAAUUUUGGACAAUGGGCGAAAGCCUGAUCCAGCAAUGCCGCGUGUGUGAAGAAGGCCUUCGGGUUGUAAAGCACUUUUGUCCGGAAAGAAAUCCUUGGCUCUAAUACAGUCGGGGGAUGACGGUACCGGAAGAAUAAGCACCGGCUAACUACGUGCCAGCAGCCGCGGUAAUACGUAGGGUGCAAGCGUUAAUCGGAAUUACUGGGCGUAAAGCGUGCGCAGGCGGUUUGCUAAGACCGAUGUGAAAUCCCCGGGCUCAACCUGGGAACUGCAUUGGUGACUGGCAGGCUAGAGUAUGGCAGAGGGGGGUAGAAUUCCACGUGUAGCAGUGAAAUGCGUAGAGAUGUGGAGGAAUACCGAUGGCGAAGGCAGCCCCCUGGGCCAAUACUGACGCUCAUGCACGAAAGCGUGGGGAGCAAACAGGAUUAGAUACCCUGGUAGUCCACGCCCUAAAACGAUGUCAACUAGUUGUUGGGGAUUCAUUUCCUUAGUAACGUAGCUAACGCGUGAAGUUGACCGCCUGGGGAGUACGGUCGCAAGAUUAAAACUAAAUGAAUUGACGGGGUCAUAGCUGUUUCCU